rnacentral:lncRNA from 1 species
CAGUCACUCUUGUGUUAGCAAUACUGUCUCUAAGCUUGCCAUCUCAAAUCUCAGCUGAUACCUACUUGUACUCAUCACCUCCUCCUCCCAAGAAGCCCUAUUAUUAUCACUCUCCUCCACCACCUUCACCUCCUCCACCUAAGCCAUACUACUAUCAUUCACCACCACCACCUUCACCUCCUCCACCCAAGCCAUACUACUAUCACUCACCACCACCACCUUCACCUCCUCCACCUAAACCAUACUACUAUCACUCACCACCACCACCUUCACCUCCUCCACCUAAACCAUACUACUAUCACUCACCACCACCACCUUCACCUCCUCCACCUAAACCAUACUACUAUCACUCACCACCACCACCUUCACCUCCUCCACCUAAGUCAUAUUACUAUCACUCACCACCACCACCACCCAAAAAGAAGCCAUACUACUACCAUUCUCCCCCACCACCUUCACCACCUCCUCCUAAGCCAUACUACUAUCACUCUCCCCCACCGCCUUCACCUCCUCCACCUACGCCAUACUACUAUCAUUCUCCCCCACCACCCUCACCACCUCCACCUAAGCCAUACUACUACCAUUCACCACCACCCCCACCGAAGAAGAAGCCUUACUACUACCACUCUCCACCACCACCUUCACCUCCUCCUCCAAAGAAGCCAUACUACUACCACUCCCCACCUCCUCCCAAGAAGCCCUACAAAUAUUCAUCUCCCCCACCUCCAGUGCACCCUUACCCUCAUCCUCACCCCCAUCCCCAUCCACACCCCCACCCUCACCCUCCCUACGUUUACAAAUCUCCUCCCCCACCCCCUAAGAAGCCAUACAAGUACCCAUCCCCACCACCUCCAGUCCACGUUUACCCUCACCCUCACCCGCAUCCACACCCUCACCCUCAACCUCACCCCCAUCCACAACCCCACCCUCCCUACAUUUAUCAGUCUCCUCCAC